GACAUUGAUGAGUGUGCAGAAAACAGCAACACCUGUGAAAAGAUAUGCAUUAAUACACCUGGAGGUUUUAACUGUUCUUGUCCACACGGCUACUAUGGGGAUGGCAAAAAGGAUGGACGUGGUUGCAUUGCUUAUAACUCCAAAUUUCCUGUAAUCAAGUAUUCCUUAGGUAGUUCUUAUGAUUUCUUGAAAUUGUUUAGCACACCAAAACAAAAAUACAGAUUCAAAUAUUCUUUUAUUUAAUUUAUAAUACCAAUCUUUUCUUACAAAUUCAAUGUUCAGGUAUCGUAUUUGGGUUCUUGACAUUAGUUAUUGCAAUAAUUUGGCUAUAUAUUAUCAUCAGCAAAAGGAAACUCAUAAAACUGAGGGAGAAAUUCUUUCAGCAAAAUGGUGGUUUGUUGUUUGAACAACAGAUCUCUUCAAUUGAAGGCAACAUGGCGUCAAGGACGAAAAUAUUUACAGCAGAGGAGCUUGAAAAAGCUACGAACAACUACGCAGAUGAUCAAAUUCUAGGAGGAGGUGGUUAUGGUAUUGUCUACAAAGGAAUUCUACCUGAUAAACGUGUAGUGGCCAUUAAAAAGUCCCGAGUAACGGAUCAGAGCCAGAUUGAGCAAUUCGUUAAUGAAAUGGUUAUUCUUACACAAGUUAACCAUCGGAAUGUGGUGAAGUUAUUGGGAUGUUGUUUGGAAUCAGAAGUUCCAUUGUUAGUUUAUGAGUACGUUUCGAAUGGAACUCUUUUCCAGCACAUUAGUACUUGUGCAAUGACUUGGUUAUCAUUGGAAAAUCGUCUGAGAAUAGCCUCAGAAGCUGCUGGUGCACUUGCGUAUCUUCAUUCAGCAGCCUCUAAGCCUGUAAUUCACAGAGAUGUCAAGUCUGCCAACAUAUUAUUAGACGAACAUUACACUGCAAAAAUUUCAGAUUUUGGAGCGUCGAGAUUAAUCUCCUUGGAUCAAACUGAAGUGACAACGUUAAUCCAAGGGACCCUUGGAUAUCUUGAUCCCGAGUACUUCCACACGAGUCAACUGACAGAAAAAAGCGAUGUUUACAGCUUUGGGGUGGUUCUUGCAGAACUUUUGACAGGGAAAAAACCCCUUGAUAUGCAGAGACGCCAAGAAGAAAAAAAUCUUGCAACAUAUUUCAUCAAGUCCAUGAAAGAAAAUCGUUUGUUUUCUAUUCUUGAGCCUCGGGUUUUGAGGGAAGGAACUUUAGAGCAACUCCAAUCCGUUGCUGAACUUGUCAAGAGAUGUUUGUCCUUGGAUGGUGAAGAUAGACCUACAAUGAAAGAAGUGGCAAUGGAACUUGAAGGUUUAAGGAAAUUCACUAAACAUCCAUGGGCUAAUCAGUCUGUGCACGAAGAAAACGUUGGGUUAAUAAAAAAUCAAAGUGAAGCAUCAGAUCUUUAUACUUCUCCAAUCCCCUCAAAUGACUUGUAUUCGAUUCAAAUGGGGACUUACACUAGCACUGGGGAAUUCUCUGGACAACAUAUCUCCGACAGUUCUCGUUUGAUGUUUCCUGUAAACAGCCCUCGGUGAUAGUUCAUAGUAUACGUUCAAGUUCAGCGAUGACUUAGACCAGAGUCAAAUCAUGUGGCGUUCCUCUUCAAUACUGUACAAUCCAUCUUUCAAGUCAAGCUAUCGCUUCUUUAUUUGUUUAUGUUUCUUCUUCAUCUACAAUUUGGAUUUCUUCUUAUGAAAUCUCCUUAUUGUCCAGUGAUUAGUCUUUUUUUUGUUUUUUAACGUUUUACUAAUUUUUUUGCCUAAUGAUUAAUAUCUAAUGUACUAUUGAUUCAGUUAGAUCCAUUCAAAAUUGAAAGAGUUGGAGAUCAUUAUACCAUUCAAAAACGUGAGAACAAACCAAUAUUCGUAAUUCAUGCACCCAAACAAUAUAGAAACGAAGAGAGAAAUGUGAGACUCACCUUCUUUACUACAUCGGUCUAUCUUCCUCUCUACCUAUAUAUUCCUCACCUCCACACCUCCACUCACUACCACUACCUCAACCCACGAAGACAUUACCUAUUAUUCUCCCAACUCCAUCCCUUUUAUUUAAGAGAGGAUCUUAGAGAUAUCUCCUGAAUUUUAUGGUAAUAUUAUCCAGACGCCUCUCACAUUUAAAAAAUCAUAUUAUCUUCUUUGUUCUAGUUUUGUGCAUCACAUAAUUUUUUGAGCCGUAUAUCAUCUAAAAUGAUGUUGAUAUACCUAAAAAAUUAAAUUUCUAGAAUUUUUUGCAAUAUAUUUGUUCCCUUUAAAUUAAUACGCCAGAAUUCUAGAUUGCAUGCUAGUGAAAAUUCAAACCUAAUGAAGAAUUUGGUGAUAAAUAAAACAAGAAGUUAAAUAUAAACAUGUAAUUUUUUAUUAUUCAAGUAAGCGGAAAAAUAGUAAGAGUUAAUUCAUUGAAAUGAUAUGCACCUUCACAAUUUGUUGUUAAAUGAUAUAUAAUAAAAUGUUAUAUUAAUCAUUAUGAUUUGGCAGUGUAAUAUCGUUUUAUCCCUUUUUGAUCAUUUGAUAUUUAAUUAUAUUAAUCGAUAUUUAUUAUUAUUUUUAAAUUAAGUACUAUAUAUAAUAUUACUUAUGAAUAACUAUGUCAAACAUGCUCUAUAAUUUACUUUGAGCAAUUUUAACUACAACUGAUCAUUGUCACAGAUUUCAUCUUUUCCUUUACAAGGGAAUUUAAAAUAUAAGUCAUCAAGAGUGUGUAGAUAUUCAAAAUUAGAAAUAAGGGAGCUUAGGGUAAUGUUCUAAACAUGAUGGGGGUGUCUCUCAUACAUUUUUUUUUAUUUGAAACACCCAAAAUAAAAAAUCGGUAAUGAUCACAAUUUUAAACAUGAUGGGGGUGUCUCUCAUAGUCAUAUAGUCUCGAUAUUUUUUAAAAAUAAUUUUAAAUAUAAAAGUUGAACAAAUCUUGAAACACUAGCACUAAUUCUCAACCCUGGAUGGGCCUAACAGUGGCUUCUUAUAACCCAUCUCACUCUAAAGAUCCGAGUGCGUCAGAUUGGAAGCCUUACAUCCUAAAUAAAAUGGAACUCGCCCAAUUUUAGGGGAAUGUAUUUAAUUGAGACUUUAAAAUUUUGAUGGACUUUUUUAAAGUGACAAUUUCUGUGGAUUUCGUGAAUCUUUUAUAGGUUUGUAUGAAAUUAGUGGAAGACUUUGAUAGAUUUCAAUUGACUUUCAUUAUAAAAUUUUUAUAGAUUUUUGUAGAAUUUUAAAAACUUUUGAAGACUUUCAUUUGAAAUAGAACUCAUGUGAAUCUAAUAAAAUGAUGUGAAAUUCUCACAUACAUUACGAGGUGUGUUGGUUCCCACAAUUCUCUUUUCCUUCCCAUUCUUCUUCCCAUAUAAUAAAAAAAAUUAAAAGAAUAAAAAUUUAAAACAUUGAUUAAGCCCCCGUUCGGUCCCCAUUAUUAUUCUCACUCUUUUUAUCUCUCUUAUUUUCAACCACACAAUCUUCUAUAAAAUAAUAUUAUACGCAAAUAAAAAAAAUUUCAUUCUUUUUCAACCACACAUUAUUCAAAAAAUACUAUUCCAAUCAUUAAAAUUUGGCAGGAACGGGGGCCAAACAGGUGCUAAAUAAAUAAUGAUCAAAAUUAUAAAUAUAUAUGAUAAACAAUAAAUUUAAUAUUCAAUAUUAUUAGUAUAAUAUACUUUUAAAAAUAAAUAAAAAUAAAUAUAUUUAAAUUUAACUAUAAAUUCUUCAUAUAGAAUUUUAUAUUUCAAUAAAAAAUAGAUAUUUUUCACAAAAAAAAAAGAAUGAAAAACGAAAAAAGUGUUACAAGAAUCCAAUAAUUUUUCAUAGAAAAUAGAGAUAAACAAUAAGUGAGAAAAAGAUGAAAAUAAAUAUAAUCAAUAUAAAAAAUAAAUUUUAAUCAUACUUGUUCGUAGAAGGAAAAAGGAAAGAAAGAUUGAAAUAUAUAUAUAUAUAUAUAUAUAUAUAUAUAUAUAUAUAUUGUGAAAGUUUUUCAAAAUCUUGUGAUUAAUGAGAGAUAAAUUUUAAGAUUUUAUAUGAGUAUUUUCUGCUUAAAAGUUAGUAUUCCAGUCAUUAAAAUUUGAAUACCCCGAAACUUAUAGAGACUUCUAAAAAACUUUAAUUGAAUACAUCAUAACUUUUAGAGACUUUUUAGAAGUAUAUAAAAGUUUCAAUUAAAUAUAUCGUGACUUUUAGAGAUUUCCUAAAAGUCACUAAAAUACACCUUGACUUUUAGAGAGUUUCAAAAAGUCUCAAUUGAAUACCCUUAAAUUUUUUAAAUCCCAAGAAGUCAUUAAAAUUCUCAAUUGAUUACAUCCCCUUAUUCAUUUUUGAGAAAAAUUGGUGCGUUUGACUGUCUAUAUUUUCCAUACAAAAAUGUCAUUUUCCACCCAAAUCCCAAAUUUUGUGCUGUUUGAUUGAUAUUUUUUUCAGAAAAAAUAGUUUUCUAGUUUUGAUCACAUGAUCAUAUUUUCCUUGAAAACAAGGAAAAUACUUGCUUGCAUGGGUGAGAAACUACUAGCUCAUGGAUGAAUAUUGAUUAAAAUCAUAUUGGUUAUUGAGCGAUUGACAAAAAACAUAAUGAAUUAUGAGACCUAGCUGGAGUAGCUUUUCUUAGAAGCCAUAAUUCAUUUUCAUUUCGUACAAUUUUUUCCUAUCUACUAGAAAAGAAAUAUAGAAAAUAUGACAUUAUCGUACUAUUAUAGAACCAGUUGUGUUCACUUGUAGCAUGGUAAUUAGUCGUAUAAUGUUAAGAAAGAUUGUUUAGGCCUGUCAUGAGGCUGAUUUUUUUCUUUUAUAUCUUCAAUAUUGUACAGUCCAUCUCAUUGAACACAUCACAUAUGUUCUACAUGGCCACAAAAAUUACAAGGCAGCUCAAUCUCAAACCACCACUAAUUUCCCGGUAUGUCAACAGAAAACGAAAAUUGUACACACCUCUCAUUCCUUUAUUGGCAAGAUAGCCAGCAUCAAGUAGAACCUGAAAUGCACAAAACCAAGGGCGGAUCUGGGGGAUCCUAAAGGGUCAAUUGAUCCCCCAGUUUUUGAAAAAAAUAAAAAUAAAAAUUCUAAAAUUCUGCCUUUUUUUUAGAAUGUCAAAGUUUAAAACCUCCACUAUAAAUAUAUAAUGCAAUCGAUAAUUUCAAACUUUGCUUUGUGCCUUUGUUUCUCUCUCCCAGUUUCUCGAUCGCGGACUGUCAGUACCAUUUACAGUUUACUCACCGUAUAAAAGUUUGAUUGUGACCCCUUAACCCAAAGUGUCUGGAUCCGUCCCUGCACAAACUACUACCCUUCUGCCUAAAAAACUAUGCCAUGAAGGGGGUGAACUAUUUACAAUGUUGGUUGUGCUAGAAUAUAAUUUUAAAUAUAAAAGUUGAACAAAUCUUGAAGAAAAAUGCUGUUUGUACAAUGGUUUAUUCACAAUUUACAUUACAUAAUUUCAAAAAAGGCUGAGUUGUCAGGCAAAAAAAGAAAAAAAGGAAAUGAGAAAGUAAAAAGGAGGGAAAUAGACAUUGGGAACCACAUCACCUGCUUCUUCACGCUAAAACAAGCUGCUUCAACCAUUUUGGCCCAAAUCCAGAGACACAUUUUCCCCUUUUUCACGAAAAUGCACUGAGAAAUACAACAUUAAUUUCUGGACAUACGAUAGUGAAAUCCAAACCACCGUGGUCAAGAAACUGCACAAAUAAGAUUUAUUGAAGCCAACGACUGUGGUCGGCAAAUUUCCCGACUCCUAAAGCCGGCGACUGUUGUCAACAAAUUUCAAAAAUGUAACCGGGUCCAUUACAUAAUCUUUCUCGACGGCACUUCUCACGUCUCUUCAAGUGUGAAUAUUGCAUUAUUCGAACCAAAGGUAUUUGAGUAAUUUUAUAGAUAAUUUUUCCAAGUUUGAACUGAUGUGAUUCAGGGACGCAUUUUUAUAGACAAAUUUCCAAAAUGUAACCGGGCCAUGCUAUGAUUUAUUGAAGCAUUCGAAACGAAUUCUGCUUGUGUGAUAUUUCUUUGAAGGUGAUCGAUAUGAUGAGCAAGCCUUUGAUUUAUCUUUGUUUUGGUAAUGAGCAGGUUCCCCUGGUUCUGGACUGUGAGCUGGACAUUGAUUUAGAAGCGGAGCAGUGGCUUUCGUGGUUGAUUUUCAUCUUUAUUCACAUUGAUAAUUUUUCCAAAUCUGUAGUUCAUCGUUGGUUUUCGUAUUUGUUAAGUAUGUAGCUGCUAAUGUUAAUGAAAUUGUCAAUUAAUAAAAUGUCAUACAGACAAUUUUCAACUGGACUUUGAGCCAUGCAUGGAAUAGUUGGGCUUCACUCAAUUACAUUAAUUUCGUGAAACUAUUAAAAUGUUCUUACUUCAGUGUUUUUGAUUUGUAUACAUCCUCACAUAGUAGAAAGUGACAUGUUUAAUAUCUUCCUGUCCAGAGGCAGAAGGCAUGGUGGAAUCCGGUGAGUUGUUGGUGGAGUCUGAUGAUGAGAAUGUGGAGAACAACAUGAUCAUUCUGGACGAUGAAAAUAUUGGAGUUGAUGAUCUGAUAGUGCCUGCAGUUGGUAUGAAAUUCAAAGAUGAAACGGAAGUCUUCGACUUUUAUAAAAGAUAUGGUUAUGCCGUUGGUUUCCCAGUUCGGAAACGAAAUUCGAAAAAAGACGACGACGGGGUUUUGAGAUAUGUGACCUUGACAUGUAGUCGUGAAGGUCGUCGAAGUAGUACUACAAGCGGUUCUUUGAAGCCUCAACCAACAAUUCAGACUGAUUGUAAAGCGAGGAUCUCUGCAUCUUUCGAUGUACUUGGUACCUGGAGAAUAAAUACAGUCCACCUUGAGCAUAAUCAUAAAACCAGUCCUUCAAAGUCCAGAUUGUAUCGUUGUAAUAGAGAAUUGAGUGCACAAGUAAAGCGGAGGCUUGAAGUUAAUGAUACGGCAGGAAUUCCAUUGCACAAAAGUUUUAACUCUGCCGUUGUUGAAGCAGGUGGGUAUGAGAACUUGACAUACGUAGAAAAGGACUGUCGGAACUAUAUUGAACAAGUGUGACGACUAAGACUCGGAGAAGGAGAUGCCGUAGCCAUACAGUCCUACUUUUCAGAAAUGCAAGUGCGAUGCUCGGGCUUUUACUUUAGUAUUGAUUUGGACGACGAAUCGCGGUUGAAGAAUGUGUUUUGGGCGGACUAUCGAUGUAGGCAAGCAUAUAGGGAGUUCGGGGAUGUUGUUACGUUCGAUACCACUUACCUCACAAAUAAGUAUGACAUGCCCUUUGCCCCUUUUGUUGGCGUAAACCAUCACUGCCAAUCAACACUGCUUGGAUGUGGUUUGAUAUCGAAUGAGGACACGAACACUUUUGUGUGGCUGUUCAGGACAUGGCUUAAAUGCAUGCAUGGUCAACCUCCGCAUGGAAUAAUUACCGAUCAGGACAGGGCUAUGCAAAAUGCUAUUGAGGUUGUUUUUCCACAUACAAAACACAGGUGGUGUUUAUGGCAUAUUUUGAAGAAAUUACCUGAGAAGUUUGGAUAUCACUGCCAAUCAACACUGCUUGGAUGUGGUUUGAUAUCGAAUGAGGACACGAACACUUUCGUGUGGCUGUUCAGGACAUGGCUUAAAUGCAUGCAUGGUCAACCUCCGCAUGGAAUAAUUACCGAUCAGGACAGGGCUAUGCAAAAUGCUAUUGAGGUUGUUUUUCCACAUACAAAACACAGGUGGUGUUUAUGGCAUAUUUUGAAGAAAUUACCUGAGAAGUUUGGAUAUCACGUGGAUAAGGGUUUGAUAUUCUCGACUAUUCAUGAAUUGGUAUAUGAUUCACAAUUUAUUGAACAAUUUGAACAAGGUUGGAGAGUAAUGAUCGAUACGUUUGAGUUGCAUGACAAUGACUGGUUGUCGGGAUUGUAUGAGAAUAGAGGACGUUGGGUUCCUUGCUACUUCAAAACAACGUUUUGGGCUGGGAUGUCGACAACACAGCGAAGUGAGAGUAUGAACGCCUUCUUUGAUGGUUAUGUGCAUGCCAAGACUUCAUUGAAACAAUUCGUCGAACAGUAUGAAAGAGCACUACGAAAUAAGGUUGAAAAGGAAUUUCAGGCUGAUUUUAAGUCUUUUUCACAGAUGGUACCAUGUGCUACAACAUAUGAAAUGGAAAAGCAAUUUCAGUCAGUCUACACCAUUUCCAAAUUUCGAGAAGUUCAAGCUGAGUUUACGGGAAAAGUGUACUGUGACCUUAUAUCUGCUUCGCAGGGACAUUUUGGGAUGACGUAUGAAGUACGAGAGGAUGUUGUGUGUGGCAAUCGCCGAACCAAAAAGACAUUUCGAGUAGUCCUUCAGAAAGAUACAUGUGACAUUACUUGCAGCUGCCACUUGUUCGAGUUUCGGGGAAUAAUUUGCAGACACACGAUCGCAGUGUUGAUUCGUAAUGAUGUUACCAUACUACCGAGCCGCUACAUAUUGAGGAGAUGGAGGAGAGACGUAAGUAGAGCACAUACGAGGGUACCAGUUAAUUACGCUGGUUUGGUAAGUACUCCUGGGCAAUUGAGGUACGACAAUAUGUGUCAAGCGUUCUCCUCGGUUGCUGACCUUGCAGCAGACGAUGAAGUCCGCUCACGUGCGGUAAUGAAUUGGAUUGAAGUGAUAAAGAAAGAGCUUAUGAUGUCACCUCCAAGUACUGGUAGUAAUAUCUUAUCGCACAAUACUUUUCAGUUACCCUCACAAGGUACUGGAUCGCAAAAUACUGUUGGUGGGAGCAUAGGAGAUCCUAAACAAUCAAAGAAAAAGGGCGCGCCAAAGAAACUUCGAAGGAAAAGCCCGUUGGAGACAUGUUCAAAGAAAACAAAGGUAGAUAUAUUAUUUCAUUUGUUGGCAACCUUAAAAAUAAAUUAUCAUUUUUUCGAAUUUUCUCACAGGUGUCGUCGACUGCAUGCAUAAGACAGAAUAACCCAGCUCAUGAUGCACCAAAAGUUCAGGUAUCUGAAGAACAACAACAUGCCACGCCAACAUCAUCAUCGUAUUCACACCAAUUCUUGGUACGUACAUGUAUUUCAUAAUUUUUGUUCGCAUUGAUGUGUUAUGUAUGUUGGUACUUUAUGUAGGGCGGUGAGGAAAGUUUUGCAUUUGCACCACAUAUACCAUCGCCCAGUGCGACCCAGUUGGGUAAGACACAUGCUAUGUUAAAUUCUGAUGGUAAAUCCUCAUCCUAAUUGGCUAUUCGAACUUGUAUUUUUUAUUUGCACGUAAUAAUGUAUGGUUUUGGAAGUUAGGUAACGUAGUUUACAACUACUAUCCACAUGCCCGUAAUGCAAGGGACACAGGCUUGUGACGGGACGUCAAAAGGUAAUAUUUAUAGAUAUACUUAUUCUAUGUUGAAACCCAAAUUCGAAAUAAUUUAAUUACGAGAAGUUAAUUGGAAUAAAUGUCACCUAAUGAGGGCAGUUAAGGACUACAUGUUUAAUUUAUUUUGUGAAGGCAAUUGAGCUUGGACUAAUACUUGUAGUAUAUUCUUUGUACAGCCCAGUGGUAGGGAGAGGUUUUGUGCACCUCCAUUAACUCUGGCCAGUUGGUUUCUGUUACUUUUCUGGAUUUUGAUGAGCUUUUGCAAGAUUUUAUGACUAGCCAGUUCCUGGUAGCUUUUCUGGAUUCAACAUAUGCAGACAAGGAUUUUAUUCAAUGAAAUAUUUAGCGGAGGAAUGUAUGCUUACUUUUUUGGUUAAAAGCAUAGGAAUUCUGUGGAAGUGAUAGCCACUUUUGUUAAACGAAUGUCAAGUNNNNNNNNNNNNNNNNNNNNNNNNNNNNNNNNNNNNNNNNNNNNNNNNNNNNNNNNNNNNNNNNNNNNNNNNNNNNNNNNNNNNNNNNNNNNNNNNNNNNNNNNNNNNNNNNNNNNNNNNNNNNNNNNNNNNNNNNNNNNNNNNNNNNNNNNNNNNNNNNNNNNNNNNNNNNNNNNNNNNNNNNNNNNNNNNNNNNNNNNNNNNNNNNNNNNNNNNNNNNNNNNNNNNNNNNNNNNNNNNNNNNNNNNNNNNNNNNNNNNNNNNNNNNNNNNNNNNNNNNNNNNNNNNNNNNNNNNNNNNNNNNNNNNNNNNNNNNNNNNNNNNNNNNNNNNNNNNNNNNNNNNNNNNNNNNNNNNNNNNNNNNNNNNNNNNNNNNNNNNNNNNNNNNNNNNNNNNNNNNNNNNNNNNNNNNNNNNNNNNNNNNNNNNNNNNNNNNNNNNNNNNNNNNNNNNNNNNNNNNNNNNNNNNNNNNNNNGUUUUCUUUUAUUUUUUUCCCCUCAAUUCCACGUCACAUUGUAAGGUAUGUUGUAAGUCCCAUUGUACGAGUAGCGGGACUGAAUCUUGAAACACUAGCACUAAUUCUCAACCCCACAUGGGCCUAACAGUGGCUUCUUAUAACCCAUCUCACUCUAAAGAUCCGAGUGCGUCAGAUUGGAAGCCCUACAUCCUAAAUAAAAUGGAAGUCGCCCAAUUUUAAGGGAAUGUAUUCAAUUGAGACUUUAAGAUUUUGAUGGACUUUUUUAAAGUGACAAUUUCUGUGGAUUUCAUGAAUCUUUUAUAGGUUUGUAUUAAAUUAGUGGAAGUCUUUGAUAGAUUUCAAUUGACUUUCAUUUUAAAAUUUUUUAUAGAUUUUUGUAGAAUUUUAAAGACUUUUGAAGACUUUCAUUUGAAAUAGAAUUUAUGUGGAUCUAAUAAAAUGAUAUGAAAUUCUCACAUACAUUAUGAGGUGUGUUGGUUCCCACAAUUCUCUUUUCCUUCCCAUUCUUCUUCCCAAAUAAUAAAAAAAAUUAAAAGAAUAAAAAUUUAAAACAUUGAUUAAGCCCCCGUUCAGUCCCCAUUCUUAUUCUCAUUCUUAUUCUCUCUCUUAUUUUCAACCACACAAUCUUCUAUAAAAUAAUAUUAGACGCAAAUAAAAAAAAUUUCAUUCUUUUUCAACCACACAUUAUUAAAAAAAAUACUAUUCCAAUCAUUAGAAUUUGGCAGGAACGGGGGCCAAAUGGGUGCUAAAUAAAUAAUGAUCAAAAUUAUAAAUAUAUAUGAUAAACAAUAAAUUUAAUAUUCAAUAUUAUUAAUAUAAUAUACUUUUAAAAAUAAAUAAAAAUAAAUAUAUUUAAAUUUAACUAUAAAUUCUUCAUAUAGAAUUUUAUAUUUCAAUAAAAAAUAGAUAUUUUUCACAAAAAAAAAAGAAUGAAAAACGAAAAAAGUGUUACAAGAAUCCAAUAAUUUUUCAUAGAAAAUAGAGAUAAACAAUAAGAGAGAAAAAGAUGAAAAUAAAUAUAAUCAAUAUAAAAAAUAAAUUUUAAUCAUACUUGUUCGUAGAAGGAAAAAGGAAAGAAAGAUUGAAAAAAAUUAUUAUUAUUAUUAUUUUCCUAUGAAAGUUUUCCAAAAUCUUGUGAUUAAUGAGAGAUAAAUUUUAAGAUUUUAUAUGAGUACUUUCUGCUUAAAAGUUAGUACUCCAGUCAUUAAAAUUUGAAUGCCCCGAAACUUAUAAAGACUUCUAAAAAGUUUUAAUUGAAUACGUCAUAACUUUUAGAGACUUUUUAGAAGUAUAUAAAAAUUUCAAUUAAAUAUAUCGUGACUUUUAGAGAUUUCCUAAAAGUCACUAAAAUACACCUUGACUUUUAGAGAGUUUCAAAAAAUCUCAAUUGAAUACCCUUAAAUUUUUUAAAUCCCAAGAAGUCAUUAAAAUUCUCAAUUGAUUACAUCCCCUUAUUCAUUUUUGAGAAAAAUUGGUUCGUUUGAUUGUCUAUAUUUUCCAUACAAAAAUGUCAUUUUUCACCCAAAUACCUAAUUUUGUGCUGUUUGAUUAAUAUUUUUUUCAUAAAAAAUAUUUUUCUAGUUUUGAUCACGUGAUCCUUUUUUUCUUUGAAAACAAGGAAAAUAUUUGCUUGCAUGGGUGAGAAACUACUAGCUCAUGGGUGAAUAUUGAUUAAAAUCAUAUUGGUUAUUGAGUGAUUGACAAAAAACAUAAUGAAUUAUGAGACAUAGCUGGAGUAGCUUUUCUUAGAAGCCAUAAUUCAUUUUCAUUUCGUACAAUUUUUUCCCGUCUACCAGAAAAGAAAUAUAGAAAAUAUGACACUAACGUACUAUUAUAGAACCAGUUGUGUUCACUUGUAGCAUAGUAAUUAGUCGUAUAAUGUUAAGAAAGAUUGUUUAGGCCUGUCAUGAGGCUGAUUUUUUUCUUUUAUAUCUUCAAUAUUGUACAAUCCAGCUCCUUGAACACGUCACAUAUGUUCUACAUGGCCACAAAAAUUACUAGGCAGAAAAAGCAAUUCUCAAUCUCAAACCACCACUAAUUUCCCGGUAUAUCAACAGAAAACGAAAAUUGUACACACCUCUCAUUCCUUUAUUGGCAAGAUAGCCAGCAUCAAGUAGAACCUGAAAUGCACAAAACCAAGGGCGGAUCUGGGGGAUCCUAAAGGGUCAAUUGAUCCCCCAGUUUUUGAAAAAAAUAAAAAUAAAAAUUCUAAAAUUCUGCCUUUUUUUUAGAAUGUCAAAGUUUAAAACCUCCACUAUAAAUAUAUAAUGCAAUCGAUAAUUUCAAACUUUGCUUUGUGCCUUUGUUUCUCUCUCCCAGUUUCUCGAUCGCGGACUGUCAGUACCAUUUACAGUUUACUCACCGUAUAAAAGUUUGAUUGUGACCCCUUAACCCAAAGUGUCUGGAUCCGUCCCUGCACAAACUACUACCCUUCUGCCUAAAAAACUAUGCCAUGAAGGGGGUGAACUAUUUACAAUGUUGGUUGUGCUGGAAUAUAUCUUUAAAGAGUAAAGGAAAAAAACGCAAAAUAUAUUGCCCAACAAAUGAAAUCAAGACCGGCCAAAAACAAUGGAGUUUCAAGAAAAUCAAAAAAUGUGUGAAGCACCAACCGCAAGUCAAAGAAGCUACAGUAUGAAAAAGGAAACUCAAGUCGGUUCAAUUGUUUGCGAACAAACAUUUGUAAGCAAACCCACAUGUCUAUCGAGUUUAUACAUACUGAUGGCAAGUGCGACAACAUUUCAAGAACUCACCAACUACAAUUCCAACCUAAGCAGAAUUAUAAAUUAGGGCUGAAUAAAAUGUCAACUCACCAUAUCAAGGCCUAAAGCUUUGCAUGUUAAGCCGUGAUAGCAUGUUGAACUCUAAUGACUAGUCGAGACACGCCAUUAUUUUUGCCUAGACACCAUUCAUACAUGUUUUUCCCACUUGAUUUGCUCCUUAACAUCAACAGGGAACUCUAAUUAUGCUAAUCUUUUGUUACUCAGUUACCCAAAUAUUUAGAUUAGUACUCAGAUGAUGCCGGUCUAAUGAAUCGCUUUUUAAGUUCUUUGCAUGCAUUAUUGCAUUUCUAUUCUAAAAUCUACUGACCUUGUUAUCAUAGUUACAAAUAAAUAAAUUCAAGACUCCUAUGUGACUCCUGUACCUGAGGUUUUAUCCUUCGACGUUGUAGGUCACUUGUUAUUGCAGCCACUCCUGCAUGCUUAAAGUGAAAUUGUAACCAAGUGUGGAGCCUUCUUUCAAAAUUUUAAAAACAAUUACAUAUAACCUGAUUUUACCAUUGAAAGAUUUUAUAGUGCUUUCGAGCAUGUUUGGCUGUGCUAUAAAGUAAGUCAAAUUUAUGUUUGAGUUACUUAUUUAGCAACACUUAACUACCGUUGCCUUUUAUGUGUUGCAAAAAACCAUUUUUGGUGUAGUAACGACGUGGAUAUUGAAAUAGGUAUGUAAUAGGAACAGUGGAUAUGGUGCAUGAUUUGAUUAGCUCGUACUUGUUGAUGUAGAACUUGAUAUUCUUUGUGCACAACACUCAUGUUUUACACUUUAAGUUAGUGAUUGGAUUCUUGAACAGAGUAGGAUAAACCAAAAAAACAUUUAUUGUAUUAACCCAUAAUCCAUUUUUAGAGUAGUUUGGGGAUAGCUAUGAAAUUACAGGAGGACAUUGAGAUAAGUAGGGAUUCCGUGCAUGAAAUUAUACUGUGUGGAUUGCCUAAAGCCAAUGGGAUGAAGGUUAGGUGAAAGUCUUAAGUUGAGGGUUGGUUUUGGAGACUGAAUGUCUAGAAAAAGAGCAUAAUAUUAAUCUGUGUAAGAAUAAUACAUCUCCCAAAGCCUCUGUGUAAGGGUAUUUUCAAACCUAGUGCUCUAAAGUCAACUGGCUUGGGAGUCAUCGACCUAAAGCUCGCCACAGUGAUCAUAUAGAAAGCAAGAAAGAGAUAAAUUAAUAAAAAAGUCAUCUUAUCGAGCUUUUAUAACUCAAGUGAAUAAGCUUGGAAGGGUAUUUUGAAACCUGAUGCCCUAAAACCAAUUGAUUUGGGAGCCAUCGACCUAAAGCUCAUUACAAUGGUUAUAUAGAAAACAAAUGAAAAGAUGACAAUAAAAAAAACUUGAAAAUAAGUAAGCAAAGACACAAUGACAUUAAGUAAGUCCUUAGACAUUCGGUUGAUAGAAUUACACCUUUGAUAGGAGGUAAGUAGCCUAAUUUAGUCUUAAAAGUUGAAGUGAUCAAAAUAAGAGAGCCUCUACUUGUUGAAAUGUGAACUUGUAAUAGUGAAAUCCAUCCAAACUAAGAGAGGAUAAAGAUUAAAGUUCACUAAACUCUUAACUUUAGAAUACAUUUCGGGAUAAUUGGGUGAAAAGAAUAAGUAUCGGGGGUGUGUAUCUCUCGAGCGAAGAAAUGAUAUAUUUGACCACUAUUGGUCGGGAGUAAACCAAUCAUGAGGUUGACAUGAGUUCAUACACAUACGUCGAGUUAUGCAUUUACAGGUGAAUGUUGCUUUUAUUUCUGCACCGUUGAAACUACUUCUUGUGUUGAUUACUGAAUUCUAAUCCUGAGACACGGCAUGUUGUCAUGUCAUGUUUUGUGUGGAGUUAAGUCACAAUUUUAUUUGAGGACAAACAAUAGUUCAAGUUUCGGGGUUUGAUAAGUGCGUUUUUACAUAAUUAUUAUUCCCACAAAAUACGAAUUGUUGACAAAAAGUAUUUGAAUAUGGCGGAAUUCAAGAGAAAAUAAACGAAAAAUAACCAAAAUGGAGGACAACCAAAGUUCAAGGACCAAAGUGUAAAUAGCCAAAAGAUGAACCAAAAGCAUAAAUGGAGAUGUUAAAGGAUCAAGGACAAUUUGUUGAAUGCUUGAAGUGUUGGGAAAAUAAAAAAAUGAGAAAAGAGGUCAAGAUGCAAGAAAUUGGAACUUGGGAAACAAAACAUCACUUUUGAAAGAAAGAGCACCACCAUGCGGUCGCAUGGUCAUAGGCAGAAAAUUUAGAGGCUGAGUAAGAAAGAACCAUGCUGUCGCAUAGUUUACAACCAUGUGGUCACAUGGUACAAACUUGACGCGAGAAUUUUAGUUUCCUUCUUCGGCUGAAAUUCUUAUGGAAAUAAGUCAUGGGACCUGUUAUAAAAACCUAGAGCCAUCAAAUCAAAGAGAAACACAUUGAGAGACUUUUGAACACACUCUGAAGGAUAUUUUGAGCCACAAAUACGAGGAGAAACACGAAAAUCGACGGGAUUACAAGAAGAACAUUAAAUCAAUGAUAUCGUUUCUACAAAUUUCUUUGUGUUUUAUUACUUUUCCCAUGUUAGGUUAGAUAAUUUUGUACUGGGAGAACGAUGAACCAUGUAAUGUAAUCUUUUGAUUUCUAGUUUUACAUUAUUGACAAUAAAACAUGUUAUUUGAAUUUGAAUGGUUUAUUCGCAAUUAUUUUUCCCCAUAAUUAUGUGCACGUGGUUGUGUGAAUUCGGUGACGUAUUUCAUGCAUCCGAGAAAAGGAAAAUAGACUCGACAAGGUAAAAAUCAUCAUCGGGUUCAAUAUACCGCUAUGCCCUACGUGAAUCUCUAAGUGUUCACAAAAGUUCGUGCAUUCUUGUAUAUUCACAUCCGUUAUAAAGAUAUAGUCGUGUCGUAUAUGAGAGUAGGUUUAACAUUACUCAAGAGAGAUUGUUGGAUAAAAUAUGAACAUUGAUUCUUCAAACCUCAAACGUGUGGUCAAUUUUUCGAACUAGGAUUAAAAGAGAUAGUUGCAUGGGGAUUCGUGGUCCUAGUGCUUCUCUCAUUCAUUAAUUUCAUAAAACUUGCAUUCAAAUAUCAUUUUGCAUUUAAUUUCAUUAAAUUCAUUUACAAUUGCAUACAUAGCCUAGUGUAGGUAUAAUAACUUGCAACUAUCAAGCUUGACAACUUAGUUUUGGUAAAGGCAAUAUAGUAUAAUGAGACUAACUCCUUUGUGGAACGAUAUUCGAAACUCUAAAUUUCACUUCAUUACUUGCGACGAACUGUACGCUUAUGGUGUUAAAAUCAAAAGAUAAUUUUAGUAAACACUUUUACAUUUUGUAUUUGAGUUGUUGAUUUUAGAGAACGAGUUUAAUAAAGAAUGUAAGAUACAACCACUCAGUUUAAGCUUGGGCAGAUCAACUUUUGUUUUACUUCUUUGACUUUUAUUAUAUAGUUUUGUCACGGAAUGUCAAAUGGUGAGUUUGUUAGGUUUUUAUUGUAUUGGGAAUUAUUUAGACAAAAUGACUAAUAAAGAGUUGUAAAAGUCAAAAAGUCAAUUGAAUAUUGUAUAGAUGAACUAGGUAUCUUAGGGUUCGAGUUUGGAAUAAGAAGGAAAGAGUCGCUGGAUUUACGCUAGUCUAUCGCCCAUUUGAUGCUCGAGCAAAAAAAAUGAAAACACUAUCGGCCGUUUGUCACUCAGUUCUCGCUUGAGCGACACACCUGUCGCUAGAGCAACGAUGUUACGUGUGAAACCCUAGUUCGAGCUUUUUAAGAGUUUAUAUUCGACCCAUGAUACCUAAAUGCCUUCUACUAUAUAUACCCAAGCGUUUUUGGUAUGGUUGUUCAUUAUAUUACUUCUCCAUAACAUCAUUCCAAGAUUCAAGAACACAUUUAAACUUUAGAUUAAUCCUUUGAUUCUUGAGUUCAUUCAAUCACAAAUUUGGGGAAAAAAUAUCAAAUUCACAUAAUCCAAAAAAACUUACUUUCUAUACGUAUGCAGAUAGGGAUGACAAUUCGAACUGUCAAAAUCGAAAACCUUGCUUAACUGAACCAAAUAGGGCGAAAAAAUCGAAUCGAUGGCGCAAUGUGAUGAAUAUGGUAUUUGAUUUUAAUGCCCUGGUUCGGGGCCGGACGGGUAUGAUAUUUACACUCGUCGUCCGCCCCGAAUUGAUUACUCGUUAAAAAAUAAUUGGGUAAUUGGGCUUUUCAUUACUCUUUCUAUGAUUCUCUUUAACCCAAAAUUUUGACUCAUUACCGACCCGCCAAGUCCAGUUAACCUAACUCAGUAACCCUACACCUUACUACACAAAUAUUAAACAUAUAUGGAAAUUGUUUGUUAAAUUCGAAUUUUGCAUUUGGGAAUUGAGAUAUUGUUUGCAUUUUUUUUUAGUAUAUUGUUUGCUAAAUGUGAUUAGUAUUGUAUUUUUGUUUUCAUUGAUUUUUUUUUUCAUAAGUUAUUUUUUUUUUCCAAUUUGAUAACUAGAACUAUAAAAAAAUAAUUUUUUUCGUAAUUAUUAACCGCCCGAACCGAGUCGAACCGAAUCAACUUACGUGGUUAAGGUAUGACCAAAAAAAUGGUGGUUCGGUGAUGGUUUUGGCCAAACCGAAUCGUUGCCAACCCCACAUACAGGAAGGUACUUUCUCAAGAACUUUCAGAGGUUGCUGAAAAUUGAUGGAUAUUAGACUAGAAGGACAUGAAGAGUACAAGAACAAAGUGUUCUUGUCGAUCCACAGGAGAGAGACAAUUUUAGAAGAUCGGGAAUAGGUGUGAGUGAAGCACGUUCCACCGAGUCUUGAAAAUUGCAGGAAUUAAAUCAGCGAGUCUAAUAGGUUUUCUAGGUUGGAUUAUACUGUAAGUUUACAUUGUCUAUAGUGGAUGUUACUGGCUUAAUCCCGGAGUUUUCACCUAAUUGGGUUUUCUCCGUCAACUUAUUUUGUGUUGUUUAUUGCUUUCAUAUUAUUGGUUAUAGCAUUCAAACCAUUAGAUAAUUUGGAGAUGUCAAUGAGUUGAGUCGAGCCAGGUCGAGAGUCAAAACUCGAGGCUCGUGAUCCGCUCGAGAAAAAUUAAGACAGGUUUUUUUUGGCCCGAGCCUAGCUGAGUAAAAGCUCGACCAAAAUUCGAGGCUCGACCCUUACCAAGCCGGCUUGAUUUAUUUAUUUUUAGGUUUUUUACCUUUUUUUUAAAGGUAGGUCUACUCCCUCUUAUUUAUUUAUUUAUUGAGCUGACCCAUUGAGCUACGAAUUGGCUUGGGCUCAGCCCGUUGUCCCAAAAUGGGGAACCGAGCAUCGAGCUGGGCCAAUCGAGCUUUUUUAGAGUCAAGUCAUGGGGUUAAAAAGUGACUUGUUGCUUUUAAUUGUUAAUUUUAAUUCCGCGUUAUUCACCGAUUCACUCCCCUCCCCUUCUAGGCGACUUUAGGGUCGAACUAUGAACUUUCACUAACGACUUUGUGGAGUUUGAUUCUUAACAUUACCAUCAUCAUAUAGUAAUUUCAUGUUUAUUGCUCAAACUAAGUGAGCCAAUAUCAUUAACUGUAGCUAUUCAUUUGAGUAUAGAUCAAGUAUUAAACAUAUUUCAUAACAACAAUACAUCAAAUUGAAAACAUCGUAGCAUAAAUGUAGUGCCUAAAAACCAUGUAAUACAACAUAAAAUGAUAUACCAUUGCUUAUUUUCGAACGACAUAAUAUUUUAUUAUAAUCGCAACUUUUCUUUGAACUAUUAUUAUUAUAUAGAAAUUCCAACUCACAAAAAUUCACAAUGCCACUAUAAAAUUAUACAUCAAAUGGGGUGGUAUCUUUGUAUAACUUUAUAUUAUUUGCUAAUAAAAACGUUAAAAACUUUACAUUAUCUGUUUAGUGCUGAGUUUCGGUCAAAUAAUGGAUUUUUUUGAAGAAAUCUGUCCAAAUGUUCUUUUACUAAAUAGUUUUAAAAGGUUUGGGAGGUUUGGAUGCUAUCUACAGUACUAUUUUGAAAGGUUUGCAAAUUCACCUGUUUUUCGUCUUACAUAAUGCUUUUGUUGAUAAAAGUAGACAUAAUAUGAAAAUAGUAAAUUAGGUUACCGAAUUAUAUUAACCCAUUGUUUUUUUAAAAGUUUUUUUUAUGUAUUCUAAGCAUUUUCGAAAUUAUUAUGAGUAUUCUAACAUAUUCAGAAGUUGUAGAACAAUCCAUCGAAAUGAUUAAUUGGAUUUAUUAAUUUCAUUUUAGUAUCGCUAAAGUAGCUAUACUCUAUUUCCUUUAUACACAAUAUGUAAGUGCACAUUUAUGAUAUAUCUAUAUGUAUAUUUUUACGUUGGGAUUUCUGUACUCUUUUCAAUUGACUAAAACUAUUGAUAGCUUUUUUACAAAAAAGUAAUCAAGAAACUUUGGCGAAGUGAUUAUCAUUUAUUUGGCUUUUAAUUCAUAUAUGAUAGGCCUCCAAACCUAUUUAUGAGAUUUUAUUUAAAUGGUUGGUAGUCGAUCUAUAUUUCAUGUUUCUAAUAAAUUUUAUCCUACUGAUUUUGCAGAGUUUAAUUCUUAACAUUACCAUUUAAUAUUUAUCAAUCAUCAACAAGUAUUCAAUAAGUUUAUGUUAAUAUCAAUAUUAUCAUCAUUAUAUAGUAAUUUCACAUUUAUUGCUCAAAUUAUGUGAACCAAUAUCAUUAAGUGUAGCUAUUCAUUUGAGCGUAGGUCAAAUAUCCAAACAUAUUUCAUAUCGACAUACCAUCAAAAUGAAACUGUCAUAGCAUAAAUAUAGUGCUUGAAAACCAUGUAAUCGAUAUAUCAUUGCUUAUUUUCGAACACCAUAUUAAUUUGUUAUAAUCACAACUUUUAUUAUAUAGAAAUUCCAACACACGAAAAUUCACAAUGUUACUACAAAUUUUUUUUUUUUAACGUGUAUACAUAAAAUGGAGUGUAUCUUUGUAUAAAUUCAUAUUAUUUGCUAAUAGAAACGUCAAAAAAUUAUAAAUUUGCUAAUAGGAAGAAAAAAAAUCGUUUUGCAUUUUCAGUUAUAAAUUUUUUCUUAUUUUCAGAAAACAAGUGACCAAAUGCGUUUUGGACAUUUUCGAAAAUUAAAAACAGAAAACGGCUGGAAAACGGUAAAGGAAACGUCCUCUAAGUACUUCUAAAUGGGAAUGUAGUCUUCGUCUGUAAAUUCUAGAAGGAAAAAGAAAAGAAAAGUCGUUCAGCAUCGUCAAUACACGACAAGAAGUCAAACUAAGCUGCUCAAUUAUUUUUGGGAUGAUUUGGCCAAUUUCAUUCGUACGAAUAUUUUCAUUCAUUUAUGGCGUCAACUUGUCAAUAGCGUGUACUUAAGACUUUUAGCCUGUUUGAUUUUCAUUACAUUACAUUACAUUCUAUUUUUCUCUCUCCUAUUUUCAACCACACAAUCUUCCAUAAAAUAAUAUUACACGUAAAUCGAAAAUUUUUCUUUCUUUUUCAACCACUCAUUUUUCAAAAAACACUAUUCCAUACAUUAAAUUUUUUCCGUAAUGGGGCCAAACAGGGGCUUAUUUUUAAUAAUAUUAUUAAUCUAAUAUAAUGAUACACUAAUAUUCAUCUAAGUGGACAGUGAGAAUCUACUUAGACUUAUUCAAUGAAUUAAAAUUUCAUUUUUCCUUUAUUGGACCAGUCUCGAUUGAUCUCAACCGUCACUUACAUUCCAAAACAAAUUUAAAAAUAAUUUAUAACUAUGAAUCAUAAGAUUAAUAGUAGUAAGUCUCGAGAAAUGUUUGAAAUUUAAUAAAUAGUAAUUAUGAAUGUGUAAUUAAAAUAAGUGUUUGAUUUUGACUAAAUUUAUAAAUGGUACUGCAUACUAAGGCUUACAUACUACAAUAUUAGAAUAUGUUUAACAAAGCCGUGAAUAAAAAUAAAGUCGAUCAAUUUAUUCAUUUUUAAUUAAUCUCAAAAUUUAGUGAAAUAGAGGAUAAAUAUCUUUUGCAAGCUUGAGUGGUCUUCCCUCCAGGAGUCGGUGAGUAAAUAUUACGCAAACUUCUCGGUAGACUUGAGAAGACCAUAACAGAUUCAGUAUAUAUAUAUAUAUAUAUCAUUAAUUUGCUUCCAUUAAUGGAGCCACUCAUAAACAUGCAGAAGAAAUUUCUGAUGUGGGCAACCUAUAUUUGUUUCUUUUGGAUUAUAUCAGCUACAGCCGACACAAAUACUUCAUCCGCCUCAAACGCCACCAUAAUAUCCACCAUUACCAAAGGAGACAACAUCGCCAAGCCAAACUGCCCACGCCGAUGCGGAAAUUUGACAGUCCCAUAUCCAUUCGGCAUCGGCAUAGGAAGAGGCUGUGCCUUCGGUGAGUGGUUUGAGGUCAACUGCAGCACCGCCUACAAUCCUCCCCGGGCGUUCAUUGCACAGGGUAAUAUCCAAAUUUACGAUAUUUCUGAUAGUCAAAUGCGUAUUUCAAAUGUAGUGGCGAGUAAGUGCUAUGAUGAAUCCGGUGAUGUCGUGGACGAAUACACUGCAUGGACGAAUAUUACAGGGACCCCGUUCAGUUUCUCGGAAUCCAACAAAUUCACCAUGAUUGGGUGCGAUGACUACGCUUCCAUGACGGGAGGCCGCGGCAGCAAAAAUUUCACUACUGGAUGUCGUUCUCAGUGUUACAGCGCCGAAACUGUAGUAGACGGAUAUUGUUCCGGCAUUGGUUGCUGCCAAACACCGGUGCCAAAGAGUUUGAAGGACUACAAUAGCAGAUUGAGGAGUUUUAAUAAUCACACAGGCAUCGCAUCAUUCAAUCCCUGCGGCUAUGCAUUUCUCGGUGAGCAGGAGAGAUUCACGUUCCGUGGUGUGGAAGAUUUUUUGGACACUAAUUUCAAGGAGAGGAUCCGGGAAACUGUCCCCAUUGUUCUAGAUUGGGCACUCGGUAAUAUAACUUGUGACAAAGCUCGAUUUUCCUUGGACUAUGCUUGUAAAGAGAAUAGUUCCUGUGUUGAUACAAACAAUGGUCUUGGAGGUUAUCGUUGCAGCUGUAACAAAGGCUUCCGAGGAAAUCCUUAUCUCAGUCCCGGCUGCAAAGGUUUGUUUUCAAUUACCAUAGACUCAUGUUAAAUUACGUCACUAAAGUUAAAGUUUCUGGAACAAAAAAUUUAUAUCAACUGUAGAGGAAAUGACUUUUAUCUUGUGAUUGACAUUUCUUUUGUUACUUUUCCCAUUAUUUGGUAGACAUUGAUGAGUGCGCAGAAAACAGCAACUGUGAAAAGAUAUGCAUUAAUACACCUGGAGGUUUUAACUGUUCUUGUCCAAACGGCUACUAUGGGGAUGGCAAAAAAGAUGGACGUGGUUGCAUCGCUCAGAACUCCAAAUUUCCUGUAAUCAAGUAUUCCUUAGGUAAUUCUUAUGAUUUCGCGAAAUUGUUCAGCACGCCUAAACAGAAAUACAGAUUCAAAUAUUCUCUUAUUUAAUUUAUAAUUCCAAUCUUAACUUUCUUACAAAUUCAAUGUUCA
rnacentral:lncRNA from 1 species